rnacentral:misc_RNA from 1 species
ACCGAUUCCACUAUUUUUUAAAUCGGAGCCAGACCGAACGGGUGGCCAGGUUUACUAGUGCCCGGUGCCUACCUUAAACCCUAGCAGGCAAUAGCAAGAAACAAAAGUCUUCAAUUAACCAUGCUACUGAAAGCCGCGUUCUUAGUUCACAGCAAAAUGGUGCCAAACCCUGUAUAUCUCACACAAAAAUCCCAACUCUUACACCGUUUUCUGGCCUUUUCUAGCAGAUCCCUUUCGCAUUUUGGUCAUAAAGCUCAAGUUUCCGUCAACCCUAUUCAGAUAAUUGGCCUCAGGGCCUCUUCUUCGUGCUGUUCCUUUUUAUGUCCUCUAAAUUCUACUCAUGGGACUGUGCUUAAGGAUUUGAGAUGUUCUAAAUUGGGAUGGCAAUUGAAUUUUGAUAGACUUUGUGCCUCGGCUGUUUCAAAUGGCGGCUCCGGUGGUGUUGGCGGGCUCGGGGGCUAUGGCAAUGGGAAUUCUGGUGGUAAUGGUAACGGUUGUGGCGGCAGCGGCGGUGAUGGUGGAGAUAGCUGGUCCUUCGUUUCGUGGUAUUUGACUCUUCUUGCCAAGUAUCCUGUGUUGACAAAAGCUUUGACAUCUGCAUUUUUGACUUUUAUUGGAGACUUAGUCUGCCAGCUUGUGAUCGAUCAAGUUCCUUCUCUUGAAGUAAAAAGGACGCUUCUGUUUACUUUCUUGGGAUUGGUACUAGUGGGUCCCACAUUGCAUUUCUGGUAUUUGUAUCUGAGUAAAUUGGUAACAUUGCCUGGAGCAUCAGGUGCAUUCUUGCGUCUUCUACUUGAUCAGUUCCUUUUUUCUCCAAUAUUCAUUGGAGUUUUCUUGUCUACAUUGGUGACACUAGAAGGCCGGCCUCAACAAGUUGUACCCAAGCUUCAACAGGAGUGGUUUUCUGCUGUUCUUGCAAAUUGGCAACUGUGGAUACCUUUUCAAUUUCUGAACUUCCGAUUUGUCCCUCAGCAAUUUCAGGUUCUUGCUGCUAAUGCUAUUGCUUUAAUUUGGAAUGUAAUUCUCUCAUUCAAAGCUCACAAAGAGGUUCUCCCAAAAUAGUUCUUUCUCUAUUUCUUCUAUAAUUCUCUGUUAGGGUUCCACAACCCUAACAUUUGGUAUCAGAGCCAGAUAUCUGAGUAACCAGAGAGCUAAUUGUUCUUGAGGAUUGCAAUAUGACUAGAUCUGCUGUGGUUAGUCAGGAGAUGGUCAGAAUUGCAAAAUUGGAAGAACAAAUGAAGAAUUUGCAAGAAGUGUCACAAAGGACUGUCGAGAAAGUGAACACUCUGCAAGAAUCAAAUCAGAAGAAUGAAAAAGAGUUAGCGGAGGUGAAAAAAAUUACCAUGAGCAAUCAUGUGAUUCUGGAAGAGUUGCGAGCUCUCAUGAUUGUCUACCCUAGGGAAAAGAAUAAGGAAAGUAGCAGUUCUGAGGAAGGGGGAAACAGAGGCGAGAACAGAGUUUCGCAGUCCACACAUGUCCAAUCAGUUCCUAUGCAAAUGUAGUCAAUUCUGGCACAAUUUGUGUCUAUGAAUCAACCUACUCUCGAGGAUAAUAGAGGGUUGUUGCCAAUACCUAAUAUUCCAGGUAUGACUCAAUUUCUUCCUGAAAUUGAGUUACCUACAUUUGAGGGAAAGGAACCUAGGGUUAAUGUAGCACGGAAAUGGAAACGUGGACACGGGGAAACGGACACUGGGAAACGGCA